AUUGAACGCUGGCGGCAGGCCUAACACAUGCAAGUCGAACGCGUGGCGGACGGGUGAGUAAUGUCUGGGAACCUGCCCGAUGGCGGGGGAUAACUACUGGAAACGGUAGCUAAUCCCGCAUACCAUCGGAUGUGCCCAGAUGGGAUUAGCUAGUAGGUGGGGUAACGGCUCACCAAGGCAACGAUCCCUAGCGGGUCUGAGAGGAUGACCAGCCACACUGGAACUGAGACACGGUCCAGACUCCUACGGGAGGCAGCAGUGGGGAAUAUUGCACAAUGGGCGCAAGCCUGACGCAGCCAUGCCGCGUGUAUGAAGAAGGCCUUCGGGUUGUAAAGUACUUUCAGCGGGGAAGCGGUACCCGCAGAAGAAGCACCGGCUAACUCCGUGCCAGCAGCCGCGGUAAUAC
rnacentral:rRNA from 1 species